CUUCUCUGUCUGUCUGUCUGUCUGUCUCUCUCUCUCUCUCUCUGUGUGUGUGUGUGUGUGUGUGUGUGUGUGUGUGUGUGUAACAAGAAUAAAAUGUCCCUGGUUUUCACAGUUGGCCAGCUUUGUCAUAAGCUUCCCACCAAGACUUUUACUUUUUUUUUUUUUUUUCCGGGAGCUGAGGACCGAUCCCAGGGCCUUGUGCUUGCUAGGCAAGCGCUCUACCACUGAGCUAAAUCCUGAACCCCGACUUUUACUAUUUUAAACAUGUAUUGAACUACUGCUCCUCUGACCACGUUUAUUUGGGCACUCCAAAACAGGGCUUAUUUUAGAAAUAAAUUCCUCCAAGCAAAGCCUCCUGCAAAUGCAGUACAACUUACUGGUGUCAAAGAACUCAGGUCUCCCUUUCUGCCUCCAUCUGCCAUUUCAUACCAUUGCAGAAAGAGCCUCUGCAUGUAAUCGUUCAACAGAGGCAGCUCCAGCCCUGAUCAGUGACUUGCUGAACGGCACUGACGUGGAGGUGGCCCUUCCUUCGGAAGCUGUAAAUUCAGCCCCCGAAUUCCUUAGUGUUAAGAUCCUAGAGUGAAUCAUGGGUAGUUGCCUGGGGCACAGUGAAGUCCAGGAAAGGCUUUGUGUCUGUUUUGAAAACAAACAUCAAACAUGUGACCUCGGAGAGUCCUUUUCUGUGAGAAUGUUCACUUUCUAGUAUAUUAUUGUACAUGAUUGCUCUGUGAAAAGACUUCGCCUAUGCAGCCUUGUUUGAUUUUAUUUCCUUUGGUUUGUACUGUUGUUAAGAGCAUAUUGUAUUAUAGAGCUAUUUGGAUAUUUUAAAUAUAAAGAUGUAUUGUUUCCAUAAUAUAGAUGUAUGGAAUAUAUUUAGGUGAUAGAUGUACGACUUGGAAAGUUCUGCUUGGACAAACUGAGUCCAAGUUACUUAGCAAAUAUUAUAUCCUGGUGAGCAGUAAGUCCUGGAACCCAACAGUAAGAGGUUAUAAAGUCACUUAAAAUGGAAGCAGUUCCCCAAAGGUGUACAAUUGGAACUGUUCAACUGCUUAAUAUAUGGCUCCCCUUUCCCCCUAAAAACCCUGGAAGUCUUGGUUUCAGCUCCCAAAAGUUACUGAUUUCAAGUGAAAAGUUUCCCUGUGGUUUCAACUGGGGAGUCAUCGUUCGAUAUAGUGUGCAUUGUGCUUUAUGCAAACAAAACAGCCUGGCACUGCGGCCAGGGAUAGACAGCCUUGUAAGUCCCAUCAGGAUAGAGUCCCACCCUCCCACACACUUUACCACCGGAGUUGAGUGACAGUGCAGAUGCCUUGUUCCUGCUCCAGUACUAUCUGAGAAGUGCCUGAGGAUGAUGAUGAUGAUGUGCUUACAAACACAAGAACAAUCCUUACUAUAAGUUGUAUAAAGCCAUAAAUGUACAUAAAUUAUCUUUAAGUGGCUUGGUGUGUUUCUUUCCUUAGUGUUCAAAAGUUCUUGAGCAACC
ensembl:lncRNA